UUUGACAGUUGUUUUCCUGAGCACUUUUUCUGUCCCGAGGUUUGUCCUGUAAUUUCAGCUGUUGAAAAUACAGGACAAAAUCGUCCCGAUCACAGGAGAAAAGAUUAAGUGUGUAUAUAUUGACACGUUGCAGUAUGUAUGCGGAGUCAACACGGUGAGUUAAGGUAUCAAAAAUGAAGGCUUGCUGCAGUUCAAUACGACGCUUUUCUAGUGUAGUUAGGCCUAUCAGAGCACACCUUUGCUCAUAAGGCGGGAGUCGGAGCGGGUCAUUCCAGGGAAGACGCCGGAGAGCGUAUCUUACGAAGCUACGUUGAACUCGUUCGAGGCGGAAGCAUUGAGUGCUCUGAGAGGGAGCCCACACCUGGACAGCAUACUCCAUGAUACUACGAACGGACGAGCAGUAGAUGGCUUUCAGUGCAUAUAUGUCGUCAAAAUCCCUUGUGUUUCGGCGAAGAAAUCCAAGUGCUGCAAAGCCCUUUGCCACGGUUAGCGCUAUGUGCUCGGCGAAAGUGAGCCUGUUGUCGAUUUUAAUCCCUAGAUCAAGAAUAGAUUUUGUAUUUUCCAAACAGAGGCCGGAUAGCUGGUAGUCAAAAUUUAUAACAUUUCUUGAUCGGGUAAAAUUAAUGAUCUUGCACUUUUUCGCAUUUGCUUGCAUUCCGUUCAUCUGACACCAGCUCUCUAAUGUAGCGAUGUCCGCUUGCAGGGCGAGACAGUCUACAGUGCUGUGAAUCUUGAAGGAUUGAAGAGUUGCGCACAGGUCGUUCACAAAGAUUAUGAAGAGAAGCGGUCCAAGGUGACUCCCCUUGUAACCGUCUGUUACAUGUUUUUGUGUGGCUCCGCCACAAAAUCAAGCAAUCCCUGUCCUUUACGGAAAAACAACAAAUUUCACCCAAAAGAACGGCUAACUUCACCCAUCCCAACUGUCAUUCCGCACAGGCACUCUCUUUCUCUGAGUGAUCCAUAGGCGUCGGGCUCAACCAGGGUCGUCGCGGGGAAGUGUGGGCACCCAGAGAACGACGCACCAUGUAAUUUUGCAGGAUGUAUGGGCGUCGGCCAAAACUUGAGGUCUCGCGAAUAUCGGCACCGCUAAGCAUGUCCUUUCUGUCUGUGAUCUCGUUAGAGAAAAGAAGUGCGCGUCUUGUGUCGUUAAAAGUACAAAAUACAAAAACGCAUUAAAAAGAACGAUAAGUAGUACGGUGCAAAUAAUAAAAUGCGGAAAUAGUACGCUAAAGAAAUGUUAAAAGAACAAACUAUUGUGAACAUUGAACCGAACAAAUACACGCCACAAAGAAAAGGUAAAUUAUUGUAAAACAAAAACAAAACCAUUUGUAAGCCACGUGGACGAUUAUAUUUGCUGGUAUUAUAACCCUACUUGGCAGGUCCAAGAGGGCCUUUUCUUGUUUAUAUGCUUGUUCUCCAGCUACAUCAUCCCGUUAAAACGCACAGCGACACAAAUAACCCGAUCAAAAAGCAGACAGAAAGAUGCCAACAUCUUAACCUUACUCGCCACUUCAAGGUUACUGACGAAGUCCUCCCGGUGCAUGACAACAGGCCGGUAUUGUCAACAACAAGGAUCAGGCUCUUCCGGGACGCCGGAAAGAGCUCUGUCAAGGACUACUCUCGUCGUUUGCAACAACAACAACAACAACAUCGAUCGAUGGAAAUCCAUCGAAAUAUCGUUCGUCGGUUCCGCUGCAAAGGGCAGCUUCAAGCAAAGCGCUGUGAGAAAAAUUCUAACCGCAAGUAUACUCUAAGAAAAUUGUGACGUCACUAUCAAAAGUUGUAAAAAUAAACCCCAAUAUUAUGUUUAUGUAAAACCUCUAGCUCUAGUAAUUUCCGAGAUAAUUAGUUACUUUACACCUAUUUGUCAAGUAAAUUUCGUUUUCUCAAUCCUUCACUCUAAAUGUUCGCUCCCAUGAAUUGGUAUGCUUUGCCCGCCUCGAUUUAAUGUUCAUUAAUAGUGUGGACUGGUUGCUAGCAUGCGAAGUAAUCACCCGUGUACGCCCCUGGUCGACUCGAUUCUGAUUGGAUCACCCUGCUGCGAGUUCCGCGGAAAGAAAGUGUCGCGUUGCAUAAAACAUCAAAACGACCCUGAGUUCCCAUUUGUUUACCUUUCCCAAAUCCCCACCCACUGAGCUAACUCCGUGUUACAAAUUGGCGCCCGCAAAAAAAAUUUACUUUCGAUACUUUUUCCCAGA